CCUACGGGAGGCAGCAGUGGGGAAUAUUGCGCAAUGGGCGAAAGCCUGACGCAGCGACGCCGCGUGAGGGAUGAAGGCCUUCGGGUUGUAAACCUCUUUCAGCAGGGAAGAAGCGAAAGUGACGGUACCUGCAGAAGAAGCGCCGGCUAACUACGUGCCAGCAGCCGCGGUAAUACGUAGGGUGCAAGCGUUGUCCGGAAUUAUUGGGCGUAAAGAGCUCGUAGGCGGUCUGUCGCGUCGGAUGUGAAAACCCAGGGCUCAACCCUGGGCCUGCAUUCGAUACGGGCAGACUAGAGUUCGGUAGGGGAGACUGGAAUUCCUGGUGUAGCGGUGAAAUGCGCAGAUAUCAGGAGGAACACCGGUGGCGAAGGCGGGUCUCUGGGCCGAAACUGACGCUGAGGAGCGAAAGCGUGGGGAGCGAACAGGAUUAGAUACCCUGGUAGUCCACGCCGUAAACGUUGGGCGCUAGGUGUGGGGAACCUUCCACGUUCUCCGUGCCGCAGCUACGCAUAGACGCCCGCCGUCGGGAGGUACGGCCGCGACGGACGUAAACGUACGAAGAGUAGUAAGGUAGNGUUGAGACGAGCGACGACGACGGAGAGGGAGAG
rnacentral:rRNA from 1 species